rnacentral:tRNA from 1 species
GGAUUGUGGCUCAGUGGUAGAGCACUUGCCUUGCACGUGUGAAGAGCUGGGUUCGAUCUUCAGCACCA